GAACCUCUCUUUUUCUUUCUCGGUUCAGGCGUUUCUCUUAUUGUUUUUUUUUNUUUUUUUUUUUUUUUUUUUUUUUUUUUUUUUUUUUUUUUAGCAGGAUCAACCUCGAUUCCUCUCUUAUAAUGAACCCCCAGCAUUUUACCGGACCGCACUCUGACAGUGCACUUAUCUGAAUUCAACCUCAGUUUGAAUCAUUUCAACUGGUCAAACGACCU
rnacentral:lncRNA from 1 species